rnacentral:tRNA from 1 species
GAGGGUAUAGCUCAAGUGGUAGAGUGCAUGCUUAGCAUGCACAAGGUCCGGGUUCAAUACCCAGUACCUCG